GACGAACGCUGGCGGCGUGCUUAACACAUGCAAGUCGAGCGGUGAAGCUCCAGCUUGCUGGAGUGGAUCAGUGGCGAACGGGUGAGUAACACGUGAGCAACCUGCCCCUGACUCUGGAAUAAGCGCUGGAAACGGCGUCUAAUACUGGAUACGGGAAGGGUCCGCAUGGGCACUUUCUGGAAAGUUUUUCGGUUGGGGAUGGGCUCGCGGCCUAUCAGCUUGUUGGUGAGGUAAUGGCUCACCAAGGCGACGACGGGUAGCCGGCCUGAGAGGGCGACCGGCCACACUGGGACUGAGACACGGCCCAGACUCCUACGGGAGGCAGCAGUGGGGAAUAUUGCACAAUGGGCGAAAGCCUGAUGCAGCGACGCCGCGUGAGGGAUGACGGCCUUCGGGUUGUAAACCUCUUUCAGCAGGGAAGAAGCGAAAGUGACGGUACCUGCAGAAGAAGCACCGGCUAACUACGUG
rnacentral:rRNA from 1 species